rnacentral:rRNA from 1 species
UGCAGUCGAGGGGCAGCACGGGUAGCAAUACUGGGUGGCGACCGGCAAACGGGUGCGGAACACGUACACAACCUUCCUUUAAGCGGGGGAUAGCCCAGAGAAAUUUGGAUUAAUACCCCAUAGUAUGAUGAAAAGGCAUCUUUUUGUUAUUAAAGAUUUAUCACUUGAAGAUGGGUGUGCGUCUGAUUAGGUAGUUGGCGGGGUAACGGCCCACCAAGCCAUCGAUCAGUAACUGGUGUGAGAGCACGACCAGUCACACGGGCACUGAGACACGGGCCCGACUCCUACGGGAGGCAGCAGUAAGGAAUAUUGGUCAAUGGACGCAAGUCUGAACCAGCCAUGCCGCGUGGAGGAUGAAGGUCCUCUGGAUUGUAAACUUCUUUUAUUUGGGAAGAAAUGCAUCUUUUUUAAGGUGUUUGACGGUACCAGAUGAAUAAGCACCGGCUAACUCCGUGCCAGCAGCCGCGGUAAUACGGAGGGUGCAAGCGUUAUCCGGAUUCACUGGGUUUAAAGGGUGCGUAGGUGGGCUGUUAAGUCAGUGGUGAAAUCUCCGGGCUCAACCCGGAAACUGCCAUUGAUACUAUCAGUCUUGAAUAUCGUGGAGGUAAGCGGAAUAUGUCAUGUAGCGGUGAAAUGCUUAGAUAUGACAUAGAACACCAAUUGCGAAGGCAGCUUGCUACCCGAAUAUUGGACACUGAGCACGAAGGCUUGGGGAAUCCAAACAGGAUUAGAUACCUGUAGUCCACGCCCUAAACGAUGGAUACUCC